rnacentral:misc_RNA from 1 species
GAUGAAGAACGCAGCGAAAUGCGAUAAGUAAUGUGAAUUGCAGAAUUCAGUGAAUCAUCGAAUCUUUGAACGCACAUUGCGCCCGCCAGCAUUCUGGCGGGCAUGCCUGUUCGAGCGUCAUUUCAACCCUCGAGCCCCCCCGGGGGCCUCGGUGUUGGGGGACGGCACACCAGCCGCCCCCGAAAUGCAGUGGCGACCCCGCCGCAGCCUCCCCUGCGUAGUAGCACACACCUCGCACCGGAGCGCGGAGGCGGUCACGCCGUAAAACGCCCAACUUUCUUAGAGUUGACCUCGGAUCAGGUAGGAAUACCCGCUGAACUUACGCAUAUCAAUAAGCGGAGGA